rnacentral:rRNA from 1 species
AACGAUGUUCACUAGUCGUCGGGAUGCUAGACAUUUCGGUGAUGCACUUAACAGAUUAAGUGAACCGCCUGGGGAGUACGGUCGCAAGAUUAAAACUCAAAGGAAUAGACGGGGACCCGCACAAGUGGUGGAGCAUGUGGUUUAAUUCGAAGAUACGCGAAGAACCUUACCUAGCCUUGACAUUGAAAAGACACACUAGAGAUAGAGUGGUGCCCUUAGGGGAAUUUGAAAACAGGUGCUGCACGGCUGUCGUCAGCUCGUGUCGUGAGAUGUUGGGUUAAGUCCCGCAACGAGCGCAACCCUCGUCCUUAGUUGCCAGCAGGUUAAGCUGGGCACUUUAAGGAGACUGCCUUCGUAAGGAGGAGGAAGGUGAGGACGACGUCAAGUCAUCAUGGCCCUUAUGGCUAGGGCUACACACGUGCUACAAUGGGGCGUACAGAGAGUUGCGAUACCGCGAGGUGGAGCCAAUCUCAUAAAGCGUCUCUCAGUUCGGAUAGCAGUCUGCAACUCGACUGCUUGAAGCUGGAAUCACUAGUAAUCGUAGAUCAGCAAUGCUACGGUGAAUACGUUCCCGGGUCUUGUACUCACCGCCCGUCACACCAUGGGAGUUGAUUUCACCCGAAAUUGGGAAGCUAACCUUUUGGAGGCUACCACUUANCGGUGGAAUUAGCGACUGGGGUGAAGUCGUAACAAGGAGCCG